rnacentral:rRNA from 1 species
ACCAGACUCCUACGGGAGGCAGCAGUGGGGGAUAUUGCACAAUGGGGGGAACCCUGAUGCAGCGACGCCGCGUGGGUGAAGAAGCGCCUCGGCGCGUAAAGCCCUGUCAGCAGGGAAGAAAAUGACGGUACCUGAAGAAGAAGCCCCGGCUAACUACGUGCCAGCAGCCGCGGUAAUACGUAGGGGGCAAGCGUUAUCCGGAUUUACUGGGUGUAAAGGGGGCGCAGACGGCGAUGCAAGCCAGGAGUGAAAGCCCGGGGCCCAACCCCGGGACUGCUCUUGGAACUGCGUGGCUGGAGUGCAGGAGGGGCAGGCGGAAUUCCUGGUGUAGCGGUGAAAUGCGUAGAUAUCAGGAGGAACACCGGUGGCGAAGGCGGCCUGCUGGACUGCAACUGACGUUGAGGCCCGAAAGCGUGGGGAGCAAACAGGAUUAGAUACCCGAGUAUG